GCGCCGUUGUGAAGCGAAAAUUAAGAUUAUAGAAAUGACAAAUAUAUUAUCGAAUUAACGACUGACAUCAUAUAGUUUUAUAUGAAUAAUGAAAUGUGUUUGUCAACGAAAAAGACUACGUUUUAGAUACAAGAAACACAUAUUUUGUUUAGAAAUGUGCACGGAAACCAGUGUGUCUGUUUGCAAAUUGGGAGUUCAGCCGAGACAAAUGAGAGGCGUAAACAAGAGGAAGCAGCAUCUCAACAACAACGAUGGGAUGAACAGAAAAGAAGGACUAAUGAUGCAUUCUUGCGUCGACUGGAGAAUAAAGGAAACAAGCCAGGUGCAGUGAACAGUCAAAGGCUGCAACAAACCGUUCAGACAUGGGAGACACAGGAGACUGAGGAAAGAGAGGAGAAUGAUGAUGAAUUUGUUCAAAGAAUGGGGGCAGUCAGAAUGGCCGAUGCUGAGGAAAACAGUGCAGAAUACGCCGGUCUGUAAGUGGAGCAGAGGAGAAGACUAACCACCCUUCAUGUCAUGUUCCCCCAGUAUCCUGUGGAUUUCAUUCGUGGUAUUUUAGAGCAGACGAACUUUUCUCUUGAUGCAGCUGCAACUGUGCUCGGUGAAUGACUGUGAUUGACAGUAAUUGACUGUGAUUAACUGUGAUCUGAAACAAAAGCAUCAUGACUACUCUUUAUAUUUAUGAAUGUGUUCCUAAGUGGGCAUUGUAUGAAAACAUGUUUGAAUCAAACAAAUCGCAUAUAAAUGUGUAAGAAAAAUAUGUAGAAAACGUGUGUCCUGUGCGAAAAAAAUAGAAUCAUUUACUUCUUCUGUAACUUGUAUUUAUGUUUAUAUUUAUUAUAUUUUUGUUAUGUGUUAUGUUUUAUAUGCUUAUUAUAAAAACCUUGUAUAUUUUGGGAACCCCUGCGGUUGACCGCUUAUUGCUGGAUAGGCUGUAUCUUGUAACUUAAACAUAGAAAUAGCUUUUGAUUGCACUAUGGGCCUGUCUUGCCAAGGUAAAAGUCACUGAUUCUCAAAAUAGAAAAAAGGUUUCACUAAUUAAUUUUACUUUGGCACAAGGUAUUAUAAGGAAAUUGUGUUUGUACAUGUAAGUAUCUUAUUGAAGACCACACGUGAAAUUGUGAUUUGGGCCAGUCGAGGUAAGGUCAAGGUCACUGUUUCUAAAAAACUGUUUCCGCUCAAUGACAUGAGUUUGAAUGGAAGUGUUGCACGGAAUUAGUUUUAGUAGAAUACUUGCAUAAAUGCCUAGUUUGGUAUUUCAUAUGGGCCAGUCGGAUAAAAAUUAAGGUCACUGUUGAUAAUCUCACAACAAACAGUAUCUGCUAAAUAACUUGUGGUUGAAGGUACAUGUAUACAUAUAUACCUAGCAUUGGAAUUAUUUUGGAGAAGAACGAGACAAGGUCACUGUUGCUAUAAAGAGAACAACAAUUUUCACUUAAUAAUUUUAUAAUUUUAGUUUAAAUGCAUACUUGUCUUGAAAGUAUGUACCUUGGUUGCUUACAACAGGCAGACCUAGCUUGGAAAUGCUUUUUUUGGUGGGGGGGGGGCGGUCGGAUCAAGGUCAUGGUCACUUUGAUUUUUUUCUUAAAACGCAAAAAAUAAUUGUGCUCAAAAGCUUAAAGUUGGAUGUAGGGACUGCGGACAUUGUGUAUGUAGGUAGCUUAAGUGCCUGCAGAUCCUACUUAAGUGUUGCACAAUUACUUGAAUUAAAUUAGAUAUGUACGAUACAAAGUUGAAGACCUGGUUCAACAACAAAGUUAUACAUACUUCACAGAUAAAUGUUUCACAGAUCAACAAAGACGCAUUUGUUUUGUUACAAGUUGACAAUCUUGCCGAUUGAAUAUAUUUUACGGUGUGUCGAAUUUCAUUACUAAAUAAAUUAUUAUACUUCACACUUAUACAUGUAUUUGAAUCAAACUAUUUGUUCGAGUGCAUUGUGCUAACUUUUGUAUGCAAAUAAACAUACAUGUUAGAGACUGCUUGAUGUUUGCUCUUAUACAGGCGAUUGAUUUUGUUAUAUAUACUUAACGCUGUUCGAUUAGAACUCCAUGACUUGUGUAGCUCAUUCUCAGAAUUAUAUUACCACAAUAAAAAGUUAUCGUGUCUUUAUAUUC